GUGGUUGGUGGCUGGUCUCGGCGAUAGUGGUAGAGGUGGUAGUGCUAGUGCUGCUGCUGCCCGGUGCCCUGUGGGGAUCUGGAUGAACGGGCGCGAGAGAAAGAGAGACAGAGAGAGAGAGAGAGAGAGAGAGGGAGAGAAAGAGAGAGAGAGCGAGAGAUGCCCACGCUAACGCACACACAGACAAACGGGUCCUGCAACAUCUGACUGAGAGAGGCAGGGAGCUCACACUGGACGUCCCGCUCUUCCGCUCUUCGCACGCACUCCGUUCGACCUCUUCUCCUUCUUCUUCUUCUUCUCCUUCAGAAUCGCAAAUUCAGCAUCGCGCUAUUCCGACCCGAAAUGGGAAGCAGAGGAGAAGAAGGGGAGAAAAUCACCAGAUAUGCCAUGGGAAUCAGCUGAACACGAAAAAGCAGAUCACAGAACGAAUGAACAUUAUGAGUGACGCAUAGAGGUGUGGUGGGAGCAGUGAUGAGUUACAACGAGGCCAGAGAUAUAACAGAGUGAAUGCUGAGUGACCCAGCUUCGAUGGCUCCCUAUACGACUUUUAGCGGGGUACGACGAAGGGCAGCGAAAUCGGACGACGAUGGGCCCCAGCAAAAUAAGAAGAUCGCGCAAUGGGCUCGCGAGGAGUAACGGGAUCGCGCAAGGGUGUCUCGGAGUGACGAGCUUGAGUAUCAAUAAUAUGUUUGUGCGUUGCAUCAUAAACGGUAAUUAAUAAAUCACUAGGCGCUGUUUGUUCUCUUCUUCGGUAGGUUGACUCUAAAGUAGGAACUUUUUUCUUUCUUAUAUCUUGAAAAUUUUCCAUCAUAUGCAUAGGUAUUUUUAGAUAUAGAUAGAUAUUAGAUAUACAUGUAAACAUCAUAAUGUACACACAGGCUCACACACAACCAGAAACACACACACACAUAGGCUCACCCACAAUCACACACAAAUUUAUAAUUAUAUAUAUAUAU